AACCAAGACAUGGCCCGGUUCCUCCCAGGCCCUAAAGCUAGUUACACUCCAUCUGUAAGGGAAGGAGCUCCUGCUACCUGGCACCUUCUCAGGCCUUCCAAGGACCUCUGAGCACUUUUGAAGCUGGACUGUCUUCCUCCCAGGAAGAGGCUUAGUGCUUUGAGCCCAGAGAAGCUCAGAUCAGCUCGUCAGUCAAUCCUGACAGUCUCAAAACCUGAGCAGUACAAAUAUGAGGGUUUUGUUUUUGAUUUUGUUUUGCUGUUCUGGGAAUGGAACCCAGGGCCUCAUGCAUGCCAGGCAAGCACUUUGCCAUCGAGCUAUACCCUCAGCCCCAGAAUAUGAGUAACCUUUAUCUUGAGCAUCCCCUUAGACCUUCUCAGACAAAAAGGGGCCUUUGGAGCUUCAAUCUCAGACAGCUUCCCCCUAAGAGGACAGGACUCGGGGGAAAAGGGAAGGAGGCCCCAGAAGAACCCCCUUCUCCGAGCUGGCUCAGCAGCCCCUCCCCACCAGACAACAGUUCUUCGGGGACCCACGUCGGAGCUGUCCCUGGACUGGGUGCUUCUUGUUAGUUCUCACAAUAUCCUUCUUCAGAGCCUGGCAGGGGCAACUCAUGUUAUGGAUGUAGGCAUCGAAGAUCCAAGAAUUUAAGAAAAUUUCCUUUGAGUUCAAGAUUCAGAGAUGGAGCAUUAUUAAUUGGUGUGUGUGGAGAUGGGAUUGGGUAACCAGGAUGUGGGCUGGGGCCAAGUCCUUGGCUACAUUGCCUUAUGAUGACACAAUGGAGAAAGGUCUCAUUGAGAUAGAGGUGGCCAGGUUUAAGCACACUUUUAAGGACAUGGAAGGUCUUUGGAUUUUGCUCUUAAGGAAAUUUUCUUAAACUCUCUGGCCCUCAGAUUUUUCUCCUGCAAAAUGGGAUUAUUGUGAGGAUGGUGGGAUGAUGUCUAUGAAACCAUGUAGUCCAGUCCCCAGCAUAAAAUGAGCAGGUGCUCACUAAAUGUGACUCCCUGUCUUAUCUGGCCAGGGAUUCCUUAGAGAGGCACCUGGGAUGUCCCUUUAGCCGGUCUUGGCUUUCUGGCUGGGGGUUUCCAAGACAGCUCUGUGUUCUGCAGACAGAGAGCAGCCCAGCCCCAGCCCCAGCCCCAGCUCCAGCUCCAGCUGCAGCCCCAGCUGUAGGCAAAUAAGAAAGAACUCUUACUGGGGAAAGCAUGACAGAUGAUCCACAGAAAGCCAAGAGAUAGAAGCCACUCUGAUCCAAGAGCAAGAGGUCCAUAGACCCCAGGCUAUUAAACAAGGUCAAGUGGAAAUCCUAGAUGUCAUCACACUAUUACUCAGCUGCACACUGAAGAUGAUGUCUACAACAUCCUGGUGAUUACAUUGGCCCUCACCCCUGAAUGUGCAAACUCUGCUUCUCUCCUGGGGAAUGUAGCUUGUUCCCAUAUAAUAUGUCUGUUUCACAAGUGUUGGUGUGAUUGAAUUCUUUUCCUUGUACCAAGGCCCAGUCAGAAUAGCUGAGCCACCCGGCCUUUCCUCUAUACCAAGAUGGCACAGCACGAAGGAGCCCCUGUCCUCGCCAGCUGAUGUGGUGCAGCAGGAGCCAGCCUUUCAGUUCCUGGUCUGUGCAUCUCCCAGAUUUCCACUGGGGUCCCCGCUCAGAUUCCAUCCCACCAGGGAGGCUGAUCACACUGUUUGAAAGAGCAGUCCUUUCCCUCAACCUUUCCCUUUAGCACCUAUGCAGCAUGGGUUCAAAGUAUUUGUCUCUGUGUUGGUUUUAUUAAAAAAAUUCCCCUUUUUCUUCCACUAGGAUGUGAGCUCCAUUAGGGCAGAUAUCUGCUGUGUCAUCAGUCCAAAUAGUCUAUAAGUGCUUUAAAUGCUAUUAUUUUACCAGCAAAUGGAUGGAUCCUGGCAUCAUGCCCCCUGAGGGGUUUUCCAGGUUCCCUGAGCCAUGUUGCUUCACCAAGAUGUCCUGUCCAUCUCCAUCCUUAAAUCCAGCUCCCAGCGCUGAUCUGUUGGUAAUUACUAUGACUGCCAGAACUCAGAAUGGGUACAGUUUUGAGGCCAUUAUAAGGAUUCCUUCAGAAAAGUUACGGCAUUGAUUAGUGAUGUCUGCCAUGGGACCACAAGGGAGGUAGAUGAGCUGUACUGGAAGGAGGAGAAAUUAGUCUCCUGCUCCAGGCUGGGGCCAAGAACUGCUUUUGGGUCUGAUCUUUGUAUCUCUUGGAGAGGAAAUAAGGGCUUUGGGGGUAGAGUGGACCAACCCCUCUCCCUUCCUUUAAGGAAGAGUGGGUGCCUUCCUGAGGCUGAGUCUCUUCCAUUUCAGAAUUCACCAAACCUUCUGUGAAAGGAAAUCCAGCCUCUGGCUGCUCCAGUGGAAUCUGCCAGCUCUGCAGCUCUAUGAUAGACUGGCCCCUUCCUGGUCCUUCCUUGACUGAUGAGACUAAUCAGGUGACCACGUGGCAUAGGGAAGGCCAGUCCUGCUGUGCCCUCUCACCAGCCCCAAAAUGCUGACAGGUAGUGGGCUUCCACACAGAAGCUGGGUCACCUGAAAGGAUUCUGAGGUCUAGGGAAAGACUGCUGGGGUCAGGGAGCAGUGGAUAUGAGCAGGGGCCUAGAAGGAAGGUGGCCUUGGAUCACAUCAGCUCCUCCCUCUCCUGAGACCUCGUUGUUUAUAGAAUCAAUUGUAUUCUGAGUAGACCUCUGUGGGAAGAUGGCUAGUUUCUCCUCCUUCCAGUACACAGAAUUCCAGGGAACAAGAAAAAGUAGAGUUGGGUAAAUUUACUCUGCAGACAAGAGUGACCGUGGGCACCUUCAACUUCAGCUGAUUGACAGCUGCAGCCCUCUCUCCUGGCUGUACCCCUACCUCUUUCCUGGUCCUGCCCAAACCACCUCCUUUGAAUUUCCCCACCUGUGCCCCAGGAGCUUCUGGGUAAAUUAAAGGUGGGGCCCAGUUUAGGAAGGGGCGCUGGAGGCUCACAGAGGUCAGGCCCAUCUCUAGAGGGAAUAGCUUGAGGGGCCUCUAGUGCUGUGGUUGGAUAAGGCUAUGCUCUAAGUUUUGGUGGGGUCCUGAUGUAGCCCCCAAGAAUUUAGAUAUGAAGCAAGGUGGUGGUCAUCCAUGCUGAUGCGAUGUCUUUCUUCUGCCUUGGAAGGCUGGUCCCUAGCUUUAAUAUUCUGUUAGGCAGGCCUCUGAAGCCCACGAAGGGGAAAGGCCCAUCUGAGACCCUGAAACUAGAGGAGGAAGGGUUAGAAUUCCCCUCAUUACGGCCAAAUUCCCAGACCCCCGGAGUGAUAGGCAGGAGUGGGACUCUGCCUUCUGUUUUGCCUUGGGGAGCCCAGCAGAGGGCUGCUAGACCCUGGUUUGAGGCACAAUGGGGCCAGGCAGGGUGAGGACAGUGGGCAGGAGGGUGCCCCGAGGGGAUGGGAAGUGUUGCAGCUCCUUGGGCACAAACCUGGGUGAGACGUGGUCGGCCAGGAAGCAGAGUGUGCGCUGGCGCCCCACACAGUAGAUGCGGGUGUCCACCACGGCACACUGGAAGGCGUCCGGGUAGGGCAUCCGGAACGUGGCACACUCGUACCAGAGCCGUGUGCUGGCACUGCAGCGGUACACGCUGAUGCCCAGGCUGCGGUUUAGGUCAAAGCGGUAGAGGAAGCCGUUGACAGCCACCAUCUCAGCCGUGCGGUCCUUGCUACCACCCGUGGGGCUGGGCCACCAGCGGUGAUCCUGGGCUGAGAAUCGGAGCAGCAGGUAGCGCAGCGUGCCACCUGUGACGAAGAUCUCACCAGCACACACCGUGGCUGUGUGUGCCAGGGCAAACGCGUCACUGGGGAGUGGAGGGGCAAAGGCCCAGCGGUCCAGACGAGGGUCGUAACGCUCCACUGUGUUCAGACACUCGCCCCCGAUAGCAUACAGGUGGCCAUCCAGAGCCACCAGCCGGCAGUGAGGCCGGGCCUGGUUCAGCGAACUCACUCCCGCUCCAGAUCCCUGUCAGUGGGUUAUAGCAGAAGACACGGUUGGAAGGCUGAUACCCAGACCCCUGGCAGCCAGACACCACAAAGAGAUAAUUGAAGAGG
rnacentral:lncRNA from 1 species